UCUGCCUUAUCGGCAAGCGGUCUGAUUAGAGUGCCCAACUUAAUGCUGGCAACUAACCACAGGGGUUGCGCUCGUUGCGGGACUUAACCCAACAUCUCACGACACGAGUUGACGACAGCCAUGCAGCACCUGUGACUGUUCCACCCUUGCGGGCGUGGCUCCUGUUUCCAGGAGUUAAUCCAGUCAUGUCAAACCCAGGUAAGGUUCUUCGCGUUGCCUCGAAUUAAGCAACAUGCUCCACCGCUUGUGUGAGCCCCCGUCAAUUCCUUUGAGUUUCAGCCUUGCGGCCGUACUCCCCAGGCGGGGCACUUAAUGCGUUAGCGCCGGCCCUCGGGGGGUCGCUCCCCCAAGCGCCUAGUGCCCAUCGUUUACGGCGUGGACUAC
rnacentral:misc_RNA from 1 species